ACGAACGCUGGCGGCUGCUUAACACAUGCAAGUCGAACGGAGUGGCGAACGGGUGAGUAACGCGUGAGCAACCUGCCUAUUACAGUGGGAUAGCCUCGGGAAACCGGGAUUAAUACCGCAUAGUCAUAGAUGGGGUCGCGUCUGAUUAGCUUGUUGGUGAGAUAACAGCCCACCAAGGCGACGAUCAGUAGCCGGCCUGAGAGGAUGAACGGCCACAUUGGAACGGGGACACGGUCCAAACUCUUACGGGAGGCAGCAGUGGGGAAUAUUGCACAAUGGGGGAAGCACUGAUGCAGUGACGCCGCGUGAACGAAGAAGGUAGGCGGAUAGGAAAGUUGUGUCCUAUAGGAAGCAGUACCAUAGAAGAAAGCACCGGCUAAAUACGUGCCAGCAGCCGCGGUAAUAC
rnacentral:rRNA from 1 species